AGUCCAGCAGGAUGCUUCACAGCCAGUGCUAAGGCAAAAGCCUCAUUAAGAGGAGUUGCCCCAAGCAAAGGGUUAAAUGAAGAGACCAGCCUGCAGCAGAGAACUGCAAGAGAUACAUACUGCUCAUAAAUCCUAAUUCCUAAAUCAUGUCUGGAAGGAAUACAUGCUGCUGAGAUAACAGAGCUCUCCAACAGAAAGCUCGGAGGCUGAAGAGAUUGAGCUGCUUCCCAGCAAGAAGGCCUGUCAGGUGGUGAUACAGAAAAUAAAGCGGUGAGCUGCAGUCCAGUGAGACCAUGAAGUAUUCGUGGAGUCAGGAAGGUGAUGUGGAUGGCAUUGCGUGGGCAUUAAUGGUAAGCCAGGUCAUGGAGACAUUGAAGGGAUAGCUUUUUUUGUUGUUCUUUCUU
rnacentral:lncRNA from 1 species